AUGGGAUUCUAUAGUCUGCAUGAAUCCCUUCAUCAUGAGGUCACCAGACUCCUCUCCAGAUUCUUCUGGGCUGGAGAGAACAAUAAACAGAAGUACCACAUGGUAAAGUGGUCUGAGAUCUGUAAGCCUAAGGACCAAGGAGGCCUUGGGGUUAUUUCGUCCAAGCGGAUGAAUAUUGCCCUCCUCGCCAAAUGGCUUUGGCGGAUUCAGACCGAUGAGGGCGGCUUGUGGCUUGAGAUUAUCCGCGCGAAGUACCUUCGCGGGCAGCCACUAGCAUUCGCUCCUAGAACCGGAGGGUCCCAAUUCUGGCAAUCGGUGAUCUGUCUAUUGCCAGUAUUGCGCAUUGGGACCUCCAUUAAAGUAGGCACCGGAUCCGGCACCCUGUUCUGGCUAGAUCGAUGGGCAAGGACCCGUCCCUUUGCGGAACGCUUUCAUGCGCUAUUCGUGAUCUGCGUCCACCCACAGCUCUCUGUGGCCGUGGCCUUAGCUGACAUGGGCGCUAUUGCCUUCCGCCAUACCUUCGGGGCGGUGGAACUCGAGCAAUGGGAUUAA
rnacentral:rRNA from 1 species